GCUUAACUGGAAAGUGGUUUAAUUUAUAUGUUGCUGUGUUGUUUUAAAUUAUAUUUGAAUCAGUUUGUUUCAGUCUAGUGAUACUGAUACAAAUGCCAGCCAAAUAACCUAGCAAAUAACUGUUUUAUUAGCUGUUGAAUACUAGCGUUUUGGCCAAGAGUAGUUGGAGUUGGAGUAGUUCUAUGAGCUCAGAGAGGUUCUGUGUUGUGGUCUGGUAUAGCUAUAUGGGAAUGGAGAUUUGGAG